rnacentral:ncRNA from 2 species
AUAUCACCGGGGAAUGACGUCCUCCCCGUGGGCAUAGCCCCGAACCGCAAAUCUUUUGCUGAUGGCAUCUGCGAUAUC